rnacentral:rRNA from 1 species
CCUACGGGGGGCAGCAGUGGGGAAUAUUGCACAAUGGGCGCAAGCCUGAUGCAGCCAUGCCGCGUGUGUGAAGAAGGCCUUCGGGUUGUAAAGCACUUUCAGCGGGGAGGAAGGCGGUGAGGUUAAUAACCUCAUCGAUUGACGUUACCCGCAGAAGAAGCACCGGCUAACUCCGUGCCAGCAGCCGCGGUAAUACGGAGGGUGCAAGCGUUAAUCGGAAUUACUGGGCGUAAAGCGCACGCAGGCGGUCUGUCAAGUCGGAUGUGAAAUCCCCGGGCUCAACCUGGGAACUGCAUUCGAAACUGGCAGGCUAGAGUCUUGUAGAGGGGGGUAGAAUUCCAGGUGUAGCGGUGAAAGGCGUAGAGAUCUGGAGGAAUACCGGUGGCGAAGGCGGCCCCCUGGACAAAGACUGACGCUCAGGUGCGAAAGCGUGGGGAGCAAACAGGAUUAGAUACCCCGGUAGUC